ensembl:lncRNA
GCUGGCACCUAGAGAGGGACCUGUGCUCAGCUAAGGGGUAUCAAUCGUUGGGAUGAGGGCAGAAUUUCUUGGGGAGCAUCCAGGGGUUCGUUGGGUACAGGAAAAAUACCGUUUGUGGCUGACUUAUCUGUCUUGUAUGGCAAGAAGACCGGUUAGAGAGCUGAGGACAGGCGUGUGUCCAGCUCUGGUUCCAUCUUGGUGUGGACGCCCAUCUGCAAGGCAGAGGGGAAGGACAAAAGGAGCAGCAUCCUGCCCUGCUUCUCUGCUCUGCCCUCCCCUGCACAGCCCCGCUCACCGGGUUCCUGGUCUGAAAAUGGUUUCCUUGGCCAUUUUGGGCUCACUGUGUCAGCAGCGCCACAUUGACACGGCCACUGCAGUUAUAUGCGGUGUGGUGCCUGCACCUGCAGUGGGGUUGAGAUUCAGCAAAGCAGAGCUAAGGUUUGGGUUAAUGCAGGGGGAUGCUAUGGAGCUUCCAUAGGCCUGUAGAUGCAAGACAGGCUAGAGUUUGAGCGUGACUUAUCUUUUUUGUAGGGCGUGAACACCAGCUUGUCAAAUGGAGCUCAGGCCCUGGUGGUCAUCUUUUUCCAUUGGUGUUGGGCUGUCCAUCUGCAAGGCAGAUGGGAGGCACGAGAGGAGCAGCCUCCUGCUCUGCUUCCCCGUGCUGCCCUCCCGUGCACAGCCCUGCUCACCAGGUUGCUGGUCUGCCAGCCAUGCCCGUGGCUGUGUGUGGCUGCUUUUUUCCCCAAGCCUGGGUAGAAAGCGGCACGACAAUCAGCAGGCCUGGUGCUGGCACCUAGAGAGG